rnacentral:lncRNA from 1 species
CCAGGACUAUCACACUGGGGACCGGCUUCUCUGCUCUCCCUUUAUAGGGGUCGGGGGAAUGAAGGGGCAAGGGUCUUCCGAAGAAAGCGAGAAAGGAACAGGCGCCUUCAAAAGCCCACUUGGCAUGGGUUACAGUAAGAGCAUUGCUCCCUGCUUGGCUGAGCACUGCGGAGUUUCACGCCUCUAAACCCCGCCUCUUCUUGCAACCUGUGUUGGCCUCAUCUACCCAGCAACUGUCGACGUCACACGACCUGGGCCUCCCUGAAUGGGAGAUAUUUACUAGACAAUCCCGCCUACUGUUCUGAGGUUUCCCCUCCACGUGCCGCUUCAGAGCCAGGCGAGCCAGGAAGGACCAGCGGGCGAGGUGGAAGUCUGCAUUAUCACGAGGAGCUUGGAAAGGAGGUAACACACUCAAGGCAAAUUUCAAGUAACUCAUCCUAGAGGCAGCUGCCUACUCUGCAGCUGUGGUUCUCCACCACAGAGAGAAGAAAAGGGAGGGAGAUGGAGUGUGCAGGUCUGAGAAGGCUUUCAUUCUGGAGCAUCUGCAGGAGCCUGCACCAUGGCCCAGUAGCACCCCUUUUUCUCCAUGAGCUGCUGGUGGGUUCCCCCCUCCCGGAUAGCGCCUCCUUCCAGAAAGAGGAUGUGGUCAGCCUGCUCCACCAGGCUGAGGUGCUGGGUGAUGAGAAGCACUGAGCGGGAGUACCGCUCAGGGCUUUGGUACAGGAGCUGCUCCACCUGAGGAAAGAUAUCGGACCGUCAGAGCUGGGGACUACCCUCAGCCCAGGGAGACACCUGUGUUUCCAGGGCUGGGACUGACCUCACAGGAUCACUGCUGGCUCUGCUAACAACCCCAAGGACACCAACGUUUCCCAUUCUGAGUACUUCUCCGCAAACCCUUUGUUUCAUUAAGGACUGUUUUACAUGAAGGUGCAAAA